GGGACUGUGCUCUAGUGGUAAGAUUGAUCACUGUUGUGAUUGUGACUUGAUCUAGGGUAUGGGUUCAACUCCUGAUGGUCCCA